CGCAGGGGCCGGGCUGACCGUUCC
rnacentral:miRNA from 1 species